ensembl:processed_transcript
AUGUGCAGGCAAACCCAUGUGGAAGUGAAAGGAAGUUUUGCGAAGUCACCUAUCUCCCUUUGACCAAGUGAAUCCCCCAUUCAUCAGUUUGGCAGCAGCAUGUGUCUUUACCCCCAUGAGCCAUCUUGACAACUCCAAUUACUAUUUAUUUUAUUUUAUUUUAUUUCCCUCCUCAACUUUUGGGGCUCCCAUGUCUACAGUGAGAGAUCCUUAUGUUCCCCCUCAAAACUUCUGUCCCUUUCAGGACCCUUUCUGGGGGUAACUUUCGUAGAUGAUACUCAUGCAGUUGGGUGUGAGUCUUCACGCUGUUUGGUCCUGAAAGCAGGAGGCAGAUUUUCCCUACACACAAGUCCCAAGGAAUCGUGAGUUCAGGACUAAGGGCUCUCCAUCCUUUUGACUACUAG